AUGAGCUGCUUUUCAUUAAGACUUGCAGUGGGCAAUGGGGCUUUACAUUUCAGAGCAAAGCUGGAGAACAAUCCUGCUAAAAGCCAGAACACAUGCGGUGUCAGAGGCAAGGACUGUAAUAACAUCGGCACGGGAAUGAGUUCAAUGGCUGAAGCAAGCACAUCUGAACGGGUCUGGCUGCUCUGGGCAGCUGGGGAAGGGCACCCACAGUGUUCUGAACAGAGUUGGAAGAACACCAGCGCUGAGAUGAGUCAGAGCCUCUCAAAGUGUGUGGUGAGUCACAAUCAAUGCCCCCCACCCUACCCCAGCUGUAACCAAAAAAAAAAAAAAAAAAAAAAAAAAAGUUGGGGGGGGUAGUUCUAAAAGGGAAGCAAUUAAAGGACACACCACAAAUCUCCUCCCUCUUAUCCUUUGCACCCUGAGUGUGCCUUCCUAAGAAGGCACAGACCAGAGACCAUAGUCUAAGUGCUGGCCAGAAGGAGAGCCAACAAAGCUAACUCUGAUUCUAACCGUAGCAUGUAGCAUGACAGACCAUAAGAAAGGGGACAGACGGGCCAGCACUUGCCACUGGGGUGUGAUCCCCAGCAGUGAAUCUUGGAGAAUCUGUAAGUGGUCCCAGGAUCCAGGGAGAUGUAUUAGGGAGCCUGUGAGCCCUGCAUCUUAGACAGUUGGGUUAAGUUUAACUCCUUCUUCUGUCAUUUAUGCUUGUGAUAUUGGGGCAAGUCACUUAAAAACUCUGAACCUUAUUUCCCUUAUCUGAAGGUAGUAAUAUUCUUUCCCAGUAGGUGGUUGGUUUGGUGAUGGGGGUGGGAGAAGGGACUGCAGGUUCCUAAGCAGGAUUUCAUGGUAUUGCUCAGUUCAACACUGAGCCUAAAAUGAAGGAGGUACUCCCUAAAGUAUACGCUGAAUGACUAAGUAAUCCUGCCCCUGGAUCAUCUGGGUGGUGCUGUGCUUGAUACCGGUGGAUAUGUUUUCCAGGACACAAUUUCUUUAGACCCUCCCACAUUCCCCAGAGAUCAGGAACUGUCUGUCUUCUAACCUGGGAAUUGUGUAUGUUCUAUGAGGAAACAUUACAUAGAAAAGCUACAAGUUUAAGUGUCUAAAGGAUCAAAAAGCUCGGUCCAGUGACCUAUAGAUGCGUACAUUUUCUUUUUAAAAAAAAUUUUUUUUUCAACGUUUUUUUUUUAAUUUUAUUUUUGGGACAGAGAGAGACAGAGCAUGAACGGGGGAGGGGCAGAGAGAGAGGGAGACACAGAAUUAGAUGUGUACAUUUUCAAAAAAAUGGCUCUCCCCUGCCAAUAGGCUACCACUGAAAAUUAAUAUCUUAAAAAUUUUUUUUAAUUUUUAAUUUUUUAUUUUGAAGAGUAUGGAAAGGGGCAGAAGGAGAGAGAGAGAGAAAGAGAGAGAGAGAAAAUCUUAACUUAAGCAGGCUUUGCACUCAUUGUGGAGCCUGACACAGGCUCAAGUCCAUGACCCUGGAAUCUUGACCUGAGCUGAAAUCAUCAAGAUCCGGAAGCUCAACUGCUCAACUGACGGAACUACCCAGGUACCCCUUGAAAAUUAACAUCUUAAUGAUGGCGAGAAAGCCAGAGGCUUUGUUAGUGCUCACUUUGGAGAAAUACCUUUCAGCAUUUUACCGAAGCCUUCUUCUCUGAAAGGCUUUGUUUUGGGUCCACCCAACAAAAAGAAUUGCAGAUAAGGCACAGAAGCCCUAUCUAAAACCUCCAAUCUAAUAGAAGGAAAUGACUGUGCAGAAGUCUGGAGUACAGAGGCAGGCUGCCUUAGGAAAAGCCUGAAGACAGAGUCGUGAGACAGUCUUGCUAAUUUUUGUAAUUCUCACAUGGCCUAUUGUUCCGUCAUGCAAAAAAAAAAAAUAAUGCUAAUGCUAAUGAGGUAAUAGUAAUAAUGUAAUCGCAAACAUCCCGAGUACUUAUUCCAUGCCAAACAAUGUGCUGAGAGCCUCGUGUAUCUAUAGGUUGCUUCCUUUAAUGUUUACAACUCUACUAGGUAGCUUCCGUUAUUGAAGCAGAUUACGGAUAAGGGAAUUAAAGCAAAGAUUUUUCUCUGGGAGAUGCUAAAGACAUUCAUUUGCUUGUUCAUCUGAAUUUCAGCACCUUAUAAAAAUUUAGGAAAUAAAAAUGGAAGAAAAAUUGUGUUUUGCUUCUAG
ensembl:lncRNA